rnacentral:rRNA from 1 species
AUUGAACGCUGGCGGCAGGCCUAAAACAUGCAAGUCGAACGCCCUAGCAAUAGGGAGUGGCGCACGGGUGAGUAACGCGUGGGAACGUGCCCUUCAGUACGGAACAACGUCGGGAAACUGACGCUAAUACCGUAUAAUAUCUCCGGGUCAAAGAUUUAUCGCUGAAGGAUCGGCCCGCGUCUGAUUAGCUAGUUGGUGAGGUAAUGGCUCACCAAGGCUACGAUCAGUAGCUGGUCUGAGAGGAUGAUCAGCCACACUGGGACUGAGACACGGCCCAGACUCCUACGGGAGGCAGCAGUUAGGAAUAUUGGACAAUGGGCGAAAGCCUGAUCCAGCCAUGCCGCGUGUGUGAUGAAGGCCUUAGGGUUGUAAAGCACUUUCGUUGGGGAUGAUAAUGACCGUACCCAAAGAAGAAGCCACGGCUAAAUUCGUGCCAGCCGCCGCAGUAA